rnacentral:tRNA from 1 species
GGGACAUUAGCUCAGUUGGUCAGAGCAGGGGACUCAUAAUCCCUUGGUCCUAGGUUCAAGACGCAAGCUGUCGCU